UACGUAGGGUGCAAGCGUUGUCCGGAAUUAUUGGGCGUAAAGAGCUCGUAGGCGGCUCGUCGCGUCUGCUGUGAAAGCCCGGGGCUUAACCCCGGGUCUGCAGUGGGUACGGGCGGGCUAGAGUGCGGUAGGGGAGACUGGAAUUCCUGGUGUAGCGGUGAAAUGCGCAGAUAUCAGGAAGAACACCCGUGGCGAAGGCGGCUCUCUGGGACGGUACUGACGCUGAGACGCGAAAGCGUGGGGAGCGAACAGG
rnacentral:rRNA from 1 species